CUUGCUCAGAUUGAACGCUGGCGGCAGGCCUAACACAUGCAAGUCGAGCGGUAGAGAGAAGCUUGCUUCUCUUGAGAGCGGCGGACGGGUGAGUAAUGCCUAGGAAUCUGCCUGGUAGUGGGGGAUAACGUCCGGAAACGGACGCUAAUACCGCAUACGUCCUACGGGAGAAAGCAGGGGACCUUCGGGCCUUGCGCUAUCAGAUGAGCCUAGGUCGGAUUAGCUAGUUGGUGGGGUAAUGGCUCACCAAGGCGACGAUCCGUAACUGGUCUGAGAGGAUGAUCAGUCACACUGGAACUGAGACACGGUCCAGACUCCUACGGGAGGCAGCAGUGGGGAAUAUUGGACAAUGGGCGAAAGCCUGAUCCAGCCAUGCCGCGUGUGUGAAGAAGGUCUUCGGAUUGUAAAGCACUUUAAGUUGGGAGGAAGGGCAGUAAAUUAAUACUUUGCUGUUUUGACGUUACCGACAGAAUAAGCACCGGCUAACUCUGUGCCAGCAGCCGCGGUAAUACAGAGGGUGCAAGCGUUAAUCGGAAUUACUGGGCGUAAAGCGCGCGUAGGUGGUUCGUUAAGUUGGAUGUGAAAUCCCCGGGCUCAACCUGGGAACUGCAUUCAAAACUGACGAGCUAGAGUAUGGUAGAGGGUGGUGGAAUUUCCUGUGUAGCGGUGAAAUGCGUAGAUAUAGGAAGGAACACCAGUGGCGAAGGCGACCACCUGGACUGAUACUGACACU
rnacentral:rRNA from 2 species